GCUCCUGUGGCCUAGUGGUAGAGCGUUCGCCUUGGAUGCGGGAGAUCGCGGGUCCGAACCCCUGCUGAAUCA